AUUGAACGCUGGCGGCAGGCCUAACACAUGCAAGUCGAGCGAGCGGCGGACGGGUGAGUAAUGUAUGGGUAACUGCCUGAUGACGGGGGGUAACUAGUGGAAACGGUAUCUAAUACCGCUUACCAUCAGAUGAGCCCAUAUUGGAUUAGCUAGUAGGUGAGGUAACGGCUCACCUAGGCGACGAUCCCUAGCUGGUCUGAGAGGAUGAUCAGUAACUCGGCGGAUGAGACACGGACCAGAAUCCGACGGGAGACACGAGUGGGGAAUAUUGGACAGUGGGCUGAAGCCUGAAGCAGCCAUGCCGCGUAGAUGAGGAAGGCCUUCGGGUUGUAAAGUAUGUUCAGUCGCGAAGCGGUACCGACCGAAGAAGCACCGGCUAACUCCGUGCCAGCAGCCGCGGUAAUAC
rnacentral:rRNA from 1 species